rnacentral:ribozyme from 1 species
CGAGAAGAAAGUUCCUCCCGCGGUUCAGGACUGGAUUAAGUGCAGAAAGGAGGGCAAGAGAUGUAAUUUUAGACGAGGAAAGAAGAGGCUUGCUGCAAGAUGAUGAUAGCGUAUCGUCUGGUGGAAGUUGGGCUGAGGCAAGUGCAGCUGCGGAUGAAAAGAAGA